AGAGUUCGAUCCUGGCUCAGGAUGAACGCUGGCGGCGCGCCUAACACAUGCAAGUCGAACGGUUAAAGCCCCUUCGGGGGUGCAUAGAGUGGCGAACGGCUGAGUAACACGUGGGCAACCUGCCCCCCGCACCGGGACAGCCUCGGGAAACCGUGGUUAAUACCGGAUACUCCGCCACCCCCGCAUGGGGGCGGCGGGAAAGCCCAGGCGGAGGGGGAUGGGCCCGCGGCCUGUUAGCUCGUUGGCGGGGUAACGGCCCACCAAGGCGAUGAUGGGUAGCCGGGUUGAGAGACCGACCGGCCAGAUUGGGACUGAGACACGGCCCAGACUCCUACGGGAGGCAGCAGUGGGGAAUCUUGCACAAUGGGCGAAAGCCUGAUGCAGCGACGCCGCGUGCGGGACGAAGGCCUUCGGGUCGUAAACCGCUUUCAGCAGGGACGAGGCCGCGAGGUGACGGUACCUGCAGAAGAAGCCCCGGCUAACUACGUGCCAGCAGCCGCGGUAAUACGUAGGGGGCGAGCGUUAUCCGGAUUCAUUGGGCGUAAAGCGCGCGCAGGCGGCCUGCUCGGUCGGGAGUCAAAUCCGGGGGCUCAACCCCCGCCCGCUCCCGAUACCGGCGGGCUUGAGUCUGGUAGGGGAAGGCGGAAUUCCCAGUGUAGCGGUGGAAUGCGCAGAUAUUGGGAAGAACACCGGUGGCGAAGGCGGCCUUCUGGGCCACGACUGACGCUGAGGCGCGAAAGCUAGGGGAGCGAACAGGAUUAGAUACCCUGGUAGUCCUAGCCGUAAACGAUGGACACUAGGUGUGGGGGGAGGAUCCCUCCGUGCCGCAGCCAACGCAUUAAGUGUCCCGCCUGGGGAGUACGGCCGCAAGGCUAAAACUCAAAGGAAUUGACGGGGACCCGCACAAGCAGCGGAGCAUGUGGUUUAAUU
rnacentral:rRNA from 1 species